AGUGAACGCUGGCGGCAGGCCUAAUACAUGCAAGUCGAACGGCAGCACAGUGGAGCUUGCUCCAUGGGUGGCGAGUGGCGGACGGGUGAGGAAUACAUGGGAAUCUGCCCAGUCGUGGGGGAUAACGUAGGGAAACUUACGCUAAUACCGCAUGCGCCCUUCGGGGGAAAGCCGGGGACCUUCGGGCCUGGCGCGAUUGGAUGAGCCCAUGUUCGAUUAGCUAGUUGGCGGGGUAAAGGCCCACCAAGGCGACGAUCGAUAGCUGGUCUGAGAGGAUGAUCAGCCACACUGGGACUGAGACACGGCCCAGACUCCUGCGGGAGGAAGCAGUAGGGAAUAUUGGACAAUGGGCGCAAGCCUGAUCCAGCCAUACCGCGUGAGUGCAGAAGGCGCUCGGGUUGUAAAGCUCUUUUGUCCGGGAAGAAAAGCAUCGGGCUAAUACCUCGGUGUUCUGACGGUACCGGAAGAAUAAGCACCGGCUAACUUCGUG
rnacentral:rRNA from 1 species